rnacentral:rRNA from 1 species
GACGAACCGAGCGAACGUUGUUCGGAAUCACUGGGCUUAAAGGGCGCGUAGGCGGGCAUUCAAGUCUGUGGUGAAAUCCGGCAGCUUAACUGUCGAAUUGCCAUGGAUACUGGGUGUCUCGAGGGAGGCAGGGGUGCGCGGAACUAAUGGUGGAGCGGUGAAAUGCGUUGAUAUCUACAGGAACUCCGGUGGCGAAAGCGGCGCGCUGGACCUCUUCUGACGCUGAGGCGCGAAAGCUAGGGGAGCAAACGGG